UACGUAGGGGGCAAGCGUUGUCCGGAAUUAUUGGGCGUAAAGAGCGUGUAGGCGGUCCGGUAAGUCGGCUGUGAAAGUCCAGGGCUCAACCCUGGGAUGCCGGUCGAUACUGCCAGACUAGAGUUCGGAAGAGGCGAGUGGAAUUCCCGGUGUAGCGGUGAAAUGCGCAGAUAUCGGGAGGAACACCUAUGGCGAAGGCAGCUCGCUGGGACGUUACUGACGCUGAGACGCGAAAGCGUGGGGAGCAAACAGG
rnacentral:rRNA from 1 species